GGAGAGAUGCCAGAGCGGUUGAAUGGGACGGUCUCGAAAAUCGUUGUAUCCUUCGGGGUACCGAGGGUUCGAAUCCCUCUCUCUCCG
rnacentral:tRNA from 1 species